AUUGAACGCUGGCGGCAGGCCUAACACAUGCAAGUCGAGCGGAUGAAGGGAGCUUGCUCCUGGAUUCAGCGGCGGACGUGUGAGUAAUGCCUAGGAAUCUGCCUGGUAGUGGGGGAUAACGUCCGGAAACGGGCGCUAAUACCGCAUACGUCCUGAGUGAGAAAGUGGGGGAUCUUCGGACCUCACGCUAUCAGAUGAGCCUAGGUCGGAUUAGCUAGUUGGUGGGGUAAAGGCCUACCAAGGCGACGAUCCGUAACUGGUCUGAGAGGAUGAUCAGUCACACUGGAACUGAGACACGGUCCAGACUCCUACGGGAGGCAGCAGUGGGGAAUAUUGGACAAUGGGCGAAAGCCUGAUCCAGCCAUGCCGCGUGUGUGAAGAAGGUCUUCGGAUUGUAAAGCACUUUAAGUUGGGAGGAAGGGCAGUAAGUUAAUACCUUGCUGUUUUGACGUUACCAACAGAAUAAGCACCGGCUAACUUCGUG
rnacentral:rRNA from 1 species